rnacentral:lncRNA from 1 species
GAAAAGAGUUUUGUGGCCUUUUCAAAAAAGAAAUCUACAGUUUUUGGUGGUUCAUUUUUUUGUGAAAGAAAGAGACGGAAAGCUAUGUCCUGUACAGUUUCUCCUCCCACCUGAGGGCGAAGUCAUGACUCGACUGAAAGGAGAGGCGUUCCUCGGGAACUCGAGCAUUUAUUGCGAGAGGGAGAGGAGGGGUUUGACUUUUUCUGUCAGGCCAAUUUAUUUCUAGUGGUAAGUGCUUUCAGCCAGUUCUAGUCCUUUUCUUAUACGCUUAUUGGCGUUAGCACAUUCCUCUUUCUUAUUGGAUGGAGUUGUGUUUUGCCACCUGGAGUUUUAAUGGAAGUUUGAGUGCGUCCUAAAAGCCAAUGCUUCCGCCUUUUGGAAGUGUCUGCCUAUAUCUGUCCUCCCCCAUUUAAUCAGUCUCUGUCCUUACCUUCGACGGUAACCCCUUUACAGUACAGCAGUCCCGUUUC